AGCGAACGUUAGCGGCGCGCCUAACACAUGCAAGUCGCACGAGAAAGGGGGCAACCCCCGGUACAGUGGCGCACGGGUGAGUAACACGUGGGUGAUCUGCCCAGAAGAAGGGGAUAACCUCUCGAAAGGGGGGCUAAUACCGCAUAGGACCACCGGGGCUUUGGCUCUGUGGUGAAAGGGGGCCUCUGUUUACAAGCUCCUGCUUCUGGAUGAGCCCGCGUCCCAUCAGCUAGUUGGUAGGGUAAUGGCCUACCAAGGCUACGACGGGUAGCUGGUCUAAGAGGAUGGCCAGCCACACUGGAACUGAGACGACGGUCCAGGACUCCUACGGGAGGCAGCAGUGGGGAAUCUUAGCGCAAUGGGCGAAAGCCUGACGCAGCGACGCCGCGUGGGUGACGAAGGCC
rnacentral:rRNA from 1 species